UACGUAGGUGGCAAGCGUUGUCCGGAUUUACUGGGUGUAAAGGGAGCGCAGGCGGGAAGCCAAGUCAGCUGUGAAAACUACGGGCUUAACUUGUAGACUGCAGUUGAAACUGGUUUUCUUGAGUGAAGUAGAGGUUGGCGGAAUUCCGAGUGUAGCGGUGAAAUGCGUAGAUAUUCGGAGGAACACCGGUGGCGAAGGCGGCCAACUGGGCUUUAACUGACGCUGGGGCUCGAAAGUGUGGGGAGCAAACAGG
rnacentral:rRNA from 1 species